CCAAUUGGGGCUAAUUUUUAAUUUUAAAGAACUUCAUGACCACCAACUUCCAAAUUUACAAAGAGAAGUAGAAAACCCGUUUAUGGGCUUGGAAUUUGGAAAUUGGAACAAUGAAACCCCACUUUUCUCGCACUUCUUUACCAACCCAGAAAACAAAGAAGGGGAUGGAAGUCCACCCAUUGGGCACGGGGGGAGUUAGAGGAAUCUUCUGCUGUGAGCCUAGCAAAGGAGAGGCAGUGUUGUGGCUCACAAUGAUUCUUUGACUGAUUCUUGGAGCAGUUAUAUAGGUGGCUGGAUUGGGUGCAGAUGGAGAGACUUGGUGUUGUAAAAGAGAGACAGUGUGACUGGCUGAUGUCUUUUGGCUGAUUGAUGAUUGUGUGGGACUUGACCUUGCAGUAACUCCAACAAAUGCUUUUAAUUCAUCAUAUUUUUUUCUUCUCUAUGGAGGAAUCUGCUAGCCUCAUGUGCAGGCAUGCUCAUGAGAAAAAGCACUGCUGUGACUAUGAGAAGCAUAUUUAGAAGCCUGAUCUUGUUCUACAAGUAUAGUGAGUUGAGAGAAGUUUGAUGGAGAACAUCUUAGGCUCUUGGCUUUAUAAAGAGGAAAUUUUACCAUGGGGCCAUUAGAUGAAUCUGGUAAGAAGCUAAAGUUUGACCACAAAGGAUACCAUGAUAGACACAAAGGGAUCUUCCGCUGCAAUUGCCUCAGGUUAAGAUGUCUCUCUGUUUCAGAGAGGCUAACUUCUGCGUUGAUGCUCUAGCGAAAUUGGGAGCUUCUAUCUCUGAUGGUAACACUCGUUUUGUAACCCCUUCCCCUGAAGUUAUUCCCCUUUUGCAAUUUGAAUUCCUGGGAAUGUAUGGUAAUAGGCUAUGUCCUACUGUUUGUGGAAACAACUUUGGCUAAUCUAUAAAUUGAUCCCAUAUUUACCAUA